rnacentral:rRNA from 1 species
UGGACGAAAGUCUGACGGAGCAACGCCGCGUGAGUGAAGAAGGUCUUCGGAUUGUAAAGCUCUGUCAACUAGGACGAAUGUGUGACUUGUGAAUAAUGAGUCAUAAUGACGGUACUAGAGAAGGAAGCCACGGCUAACUACGUGCCAGCAGCCGCGGUAAUACGUAGGUGGCGAGCGUUGUCCGGAAUUAUUGGGCGUAAAGAGCGCGUAGGCGGGUAAAUAAGUCUGUUUUAAAAGUGCGGAGCUCAACUCCGUGAUGGAAUGGAAACUGUUUAUCUUGAGUACCGGAGAGGAAAGUGGAAUUCCCAGUGUAGCGGUGAAAUGCGUAGAUAUUGGGAGGAACACCAGUGGCGAAGGCGACUUUCUGGACGGUGUCUGACGCUGAGGCGCGAAAGCCAGGGAAGUGAACGGGAUUAGAUACCCCGGUAAUCCUGGCCGUAAACGAUGGGUACUAGGUGUAGAGGGUAUCGACCCCUUCUGUGCCGGAGUUAACGCAAUAAGUACCCCGCCUGGGGAGUACG